rnacentral:rRNA from 1 species
CAGUCGCCACGGUAAUGCGUAGGUGGCAAGCGUUGUCCGGAAUUAUUGGGCGUAAAGGGCUCGCAGGCGGUUUCUUAAGUCUGAUGUGAAAGCCCCCGGCUCAACCGGGGAGGGUCAUUGGGAACUGGGAAACUUGAGUGCAGAAGAGGAGAGUGGAAUUCCACGUGUAGCGGUGAAAUGCGUAGAGAUGUGGAGGAACACCAGUGGCGAAGGCGACUCUCUGGUCUGUAACUGACGCUGAGGAGCGAAAGCGUGGGGAGCGAACAGGAUUAGAUACCCGCGUAGUCCCUGUCUCUUAUAC